rnacentral:tRNA from 2 species
GGAGAGUCGGCCGGACGGUAAGGCACUUGUCUGCUAAACAAGGGCUCUCGCAAGAGGCUAACGGGUUCGACUCCCGUACUCUCCGCCA